GACGAACGCUGGCGGCGUGCCUAAUACAUGCAAGUCGAACGCAGUGGGGACGGGUGAGUAACACGUGGGUAACCUCCCCUCAGAGGGGAUAACACUUGGAAACAGGUGCUAAACCGAUACUGAUGGAUGGACCCGGGGUGCAUUAGCUAGUUGGUGAGGUAACGGCUUACAAAGGCAACGAUGCAUAGCCGGCCUGAGAGGGGGAGAGGCCACACUGGGAAUGAGACACGGCCCAGACUCCUACGGGAGGCAGCAGUAGGGAAUCUUCGGCAAUGGACGAAAGUCUGACCGAGCAAUGCCGCGUGAGUGAAGAAGGUCUUCGGAUUGUAAAGCUCUGUUGUUGGGGAAGCGGUAUCUAACCAGAAAGCAACGGCUAACUACGUGCCAGCAGCCGCGGUAAUAC
rnacentral:rRNA from 1 species